rnacentral:rRNA from 1 species
AGAUACCCUAUUAUUCUUAAGGUAAAGUUGGUGUGGGUAGUAUUAGUUAAGGUCUUGAAACCCAAAGGAUUUGGCGGUGCUUUAAUCUCUUCAGAGGAGCCUGUUCUGUGAUCGAUGGUCCGCGUUAAUGAAUACUUUGUUUUGUUAGGCAGUUUGUAUAUCGCCGUUGUUCAGAGGAUUUUUAAAAAAUGUAAUUUUCUAUAAUUUUUAUUGGAAUGUAAGGCAGGUCAAGGUGCAGUUUAUAAUAAAGGGAGAAAUGGGCUACAAUAUAUUUUAUAUAUUACGGAUUAUUUACUAAUAAUGGUGGGUAAGAAGGAGGAUUUGAAUGUAAUUUUUAGGGGUAGGAGUGAAUUGGGCUCUAGGGCAUGCACACAUCGCCCGUCGCCCUCAACUUUUAGGUGAGAUAAGUCGU